AAUAAAAUGCCUGAUUUAAUAGGGCUAUUUUGAUAGAAUAGAAAAUGUAUUUUUGUACUUUUAUUU
rnacentral:tRNA from 1 species